AAAUUGAAGAGUUUGAUCAUGGCUCAGAUUGAACGCUGGCGGCAGGCCUAACACAUGCAAGUCGAACGGUAACAGGAAGCAGCUUGCUGCUUCGCUGACGAGUGGCGGACGGGUGAGUAAUGUCUGGGAAACUGCCUGAUGGAGGGGGAUAACUACUGGAAACGGUGGCUAAUACCGCAUAACGUCGCAAGACCAAAGAGGGGGACCUUCGGGCCUCUUGCCAUCAGAUGUGCCCAGAUGGGAUUAGCUUGUUGGUGAGGUAACGGCUCACCAAGGCGACGAUCCCUAGCUGGUCUGAGAGGAUGACCAGCCACACUGGAACUGAGACACGGUCCAGACUCCUACGGGAGGCAGCAGUGGGGAAUAUUGCACAAUGGGCGCAAGCCUGAUGCAGCCAUGCCGCGUGUAUGAAGAAGGCCUUCGGGUUGUAAAGUACUUUCAGCGGGGAGGAAG
rnacentral:rRNA from 2 species